rnacentral:rRNA from 1 species
UACGUAGGGGGCUAGCGUUGUCCGGAAUCAUUGGGCGUAAAGCGCGCGUAGGCGGUCAGGAAAGUCCGGUGUGAAAGUCAUAGGCUCAACCUAUGGAUGCCGCUGGAAACUGCCUGACUUGAGUCCGGAAGGGGCGAGUGGAAUUCCUGGUGUAGCGGUGAAAUGCGCAGAUAUCAGGAGGAACACCUGCGGUGUAGACGGCUUACUGGACCAUCACUGACGCUGAGGCACGAAAGCGUGGGUAGCAAACAGG